rnacentral:rRNA from 1 species
UUGAUCCUGGCUCAGGACGAACGCUGGCGGCGUGCCUAACACAUGCAAGUCGAACGAAGUAUGUUUUUCUGAAUAUGCUUAUUGGCGGACGGGUGAGUAACGCGUGAACAAUCUGCCCCGUACAAAGGAAUAGCCGCGGGAAACCGGGAUUAAAGCCAUAUAACACUUUAUUACCGCAUGGUGCAGAAGUCAAAUUGAUUAAAGGUAUGGGAUGAGUUCGCGUCUGAUUAGCUAGUUGGUAAGGUAACGGCUUACCAAGGCUACCAUCAGUACCCGGCCUGAGAGGGUGAACGGCCACGCUGGAACUGAGACACGGUCCACACUCCUACGGGAGGCACCAGUGGGGAAUAUUGCACAAUGGAGGAAACCUCCUGAUGCGACUGACCGAUGAGGUGAAGAAGGUCUUCAGAAUCUAAACUCUGUCUUGUGAGAUAAGGACGGUACCAAGGAGAGCCCGCUACUCUGCCAGCACCGCGGUAAUACUAGGGGCGAGCGUGUCCGGGAUUUACUGGGCGUAAGGGUGAGUAGGCGGUGUAUAUGUCAGGUGUAAAAGGCUUGUUAACCAUGGUUAGCACUUGAAACUGGCAACUGAGUGCAGAGAGUAACGGAAUUCCUAGUGUACGGUGAAAUGCUAAUAUAGAGGAACACCAGUGCAACGGCGGCUUAUGGACUGUACUGACGUGAGUCACGAACGUGCGAUAGCAAACAGAUUAAUACAGCUGGUAGUCCACCUGUAACGAUGAUGCUAGUGUUGGGUAGCAUACCAUGCCGAGUAAACACAUAAGCACUCCGCGGGAGUACGGUCGCAAGACUGAACUCAAGGAAUUGACGGACCCGCACAAGCACGGAGCAUGUGUUUAAUUCGAAGCAACGCGAAGAACCUUACAGGCUUGACAUCCCUUGACCGAUGCGAAUGUACCUCAUCCUAUCGAGCAAGAGACAAGUGGUGCAUGGUGUCAGCAGCUUGAUCGUGCAGAUGUUUGGGUUAGCUCCGCAAGCGAGCGGCACUCUUAUUCAUAUAUGUCUGAUCAGCAGGUAAAGCUGGGCACUCUAAGGAGACUGCCGAUGAUAAAUCGGAGGAAGGUGGGGAUGACGUCAAAUCAUCAUGCCCAUUAUGUCCUGGGCUACACACGUGCUACAAUGGUCGGUACAACGGGGAGCGAAGGAGCGAUCCGGAGCAAAUCCCAAUAAACUGAUCCCAGUUUGGAUUGUAGGAUGCAACUCGCCUACAUGAAGUCGGAGUUGCUAGUAAUCGCGAAUCAGAACGUCGCGGUGAAUGCGUUCCCGGGUCUUGUACACACCGCCCGUCACACCAUGGAAGUCGGUAAUACCGGAAGUCGCUGAGCUAACCGCAAGGGGGCAGGCGCCGAAGGUAGGAUCAAUGACUGGGGUGA